UGAAUGUUGUUGUCAGCAGCCAGACUCAGACACAUGUGUUAUUCUCUCUCAACUUUACCAACAAACAUCCAAGAUGCAGGCUUCUUCAGUCGAGUAAAGAGAAGUUUGUAGAAGCAGUAGAGAUGUGAAGACGAUAUCAUCAGUCCAUCGUCGUUGAAGACGUAGUUUUGAGGUGGUCAGUCCCUCAGUCUGGAACAAGACUACCUCCAUAAUGUGGUCACCGUUGCUCUCCCGCACCAGUGUGGUCACCGUUGCUCUCCCGCACCAGUGUGGUCACCGUUGCUCUCCCGCACCAGUGUGGUCACCGUUGCUCUCCCGCACCAGUGUGGUCACCGUUGCUUUCCCGCACCAGUGUGGUCACCGUUGCUCUCCCGCACCAGUGUCCAGCAAUAGUUGACCCCUAAACUACGUUAUUGAGGAAUGAUGGUUCUACAAACACCCAGAGAAGAUUUGCCGUAUUGUGAACAGCUUCUUGUUAAUGAUUUUUUCCUCUAAAAAAAAUAAAA